rnacentral:rRNA from 1 species
GACAGCAGCCCACGGUAAUACGAAGGGGGCUAGCGUUGUUCGGAAUUACUGGGCGUAAAGCGCACGUAGGCGGACAUUUAAGUCAGGGGUGAAAUCCCGGGGCUCAACCCAGGAACUGCCUUUGAUACUGGGUGUCUAGAGUAUGGAAGAGGUGAGUGGAAUUCCGAGUGUAGAGGUGAAAUUCGUAGAUAUUCGGAGGAACACCAGUGGCGAAGGCGGCUCACUGGUCCAUUACUGACGCUGAGGUGCGAAAGCGUGGGGAGCAAACAGGAUUAGAUACCCGGGUAGUCCCUGUCUCUUAUACAA